rnacentral:lncRNA from 1 species
ACCUGUUUCAAUGGUCUAUUACUGCUGGGACAGUGAAAUAAUAACAGGGGAAGGCUAGUGCACUGCAACUACAAGAAGUUGGAGACUGUCUACUGCUCUGCCAGGAGAAUUAGAAGACUGUCAUUUAAUGUUCAGCUCCCUGCAGAUUCUGGAACUUUCUGCAGGAGUGUGAAUGAGCUCUUGUAUCCUGUCUGCAGAAGGAAGAGAGAGGAUUGCCAUUGCUGUUCUGCUGCC